rnacentral:rRNA from 1 species
UGAGGAAUAUUGGUCAAUGGACGAGAGUCUGAACCAGCCAAGUAGCGUGCAGGAUGACGGCCCUCCGGGUUGUAAACUGCUUUUAGUUGGGAAUAAAAAAGAUGACGUGUCAUCUAUUGUAUGUACCUUACGAAUAAGGACCGGCUAAUUCCGUGCCAGCAGCCGCGGUAAUACGGAAGGUCCGGGCGUUAUCCGGAUUUAUUGGGUUUAAAGGGAGCGUAGGCCGAAGGUUAAGCGUGUUGUGAAAUGUAGUCGCUCAACGGGUGCACUGCAGCGCGAACUGGCUUUCUUGAGUGCGCGGAAAGUUGGCGGAAUUCGUUGUGUAGCGGUGAAAUGCUUAGAUAUGACGAAGAACUCCGAUUGCGAAGGCAGCUGACUGUAGCGUAACUGACGCUGAUGCU